CCUACGGGAGGCAGCAGUGAGGAAUAUUGGUCAAUGGGCGCAAGCCUGAACCAGCCAUGCCGCGUGCAGGAUGACGGUCCUAUGGAUUGUAAACUGCUUUUGUACAGGAAGAAACACUCCCUCGUGAGGGAGCUUGACGGUACUGUAAGAAUAAGGAUCGGCUAACUCCGUGCCAGCAGCCGCGGUAAUACGGAGGAUCCAAGCGUUAUCCGGAAUCAUUGGGUUUAAAGGGUCCGUAGGCGGCUUAAUAAGUCAGUGGUGAAAGCCCUACGCUUAACGCAGGAACGGCCAUUGAUACUGUUAGGCUUGAAUUAUUAGGAAGUAACUAGAAUAUGUAGUGUAGCGGUGAAAUGCUUAGAGAUUACAUGGAAUACCAAUUGCGAAGGCAGGUUACUACUAAUGGAUUGACGCUGAUGGACGAAAGCGUGGGUAGCGAACAGGAUUAGAUACCCUGGUAGUCCACGCCGUAAACGAUAGAUACUAGCUGUUGGGAGCAAUUUCAGCGGCUAAGCGAAAGUGAUAAGUAUCCCACCUGGGGAGUACGAACGCAAGUUUGAAACUCAAAGGAAUUGACGG
rnacentral:rRNA from 1 species